rnacentral:rRNA from 1 species
AUUGAACGCUGGCGGCAGGCCUAACACAUGCAAGUCGAGCGGCAGCGGGAAGUAGCUUGCUACUUUGCCGGCGAGCGGCGGACGGGUGAGUAAUGUCUGGGAAACUGCCUGAUGGAGGGGGAUAACUACUGGAAACGGUAGCUAAUACCGCAUAACGUCGCAAGACCAAAGAGGGGGACCUUCGGGCCUCUUGCCAUCAGAUGUGCCCAGAUGGGAUUAGCUAGUAGGUGGGGUAACGGCUCACCUAGGCGACGAUCCCUAGCUGGUCUGAGAGGAUGACCAGCCACACUGGAACUGAGACACGGUCCAGACUCCUACGGGAGGCAGCAGUGGGGAAUAUUGCACAAUGGGCGCAAGCCUGAUGCAGCCAUGCCGCGUGUAUGAAGAAGGCCUUCGGGUUGUAAAGUACUUUCAGCGGGGAGGAAGGUGCUGAGGUUAAUAACCUCAGCAAUUGACGUUACCCGCAGAAGAAGCACCGGCUAACUCCGUGCCAGCAGCCGCCGUAACAC